rnacentral:tRNA from 1 species
GUUUAUAUAGUUUAAAAUAAAACCUUACAUUUUCAUUGUAAAAAUAAAUAAAUUUAUUUUAUAAAUU